rnacentral:piRNA from 2 species
UCCACAUUUGCCAAGAGAGAUUCAUCAGUUU